GCGUGUGCUUGCUGUGGG
rnacentral:miRNA from 1 species